UAUAAACGAGAGUUGUUUCUUAUCCCUUUUACCAAAUACUGUCCUGGUUUGCAGUUGUUCAGGACCAAAGCGACAACAUGACAUCGACAUGCGCAAAGUGGAUGGAUAUAUUUUACUUUAAAAAUCUGAACUUACAGGACAUGAAGAAAACACAGGAACCAGAGAUACAGCAACAACAACACCAAAGGACAACAAAUGACCCGACAACAAAGAGACAGAAAACAGGAACCUAAAUACAACUGAAGAGAUGAACAUAACUACAUGGUGAACAGGUCUGAUUUUGUUAACUUUUAAAGAUUCCAGUACAAACAUAUCAAAUCCUGACUCUAAGGUCUAACGUUCAACUCUUCAGUGGCUAGAUUGUAGUCUUUCCUUUUAAAGUAAAGACCUAUUUGGACAGAACCAGAACUCUGUCGGCUGUACAGCUGCUGUACUCUGCAAGUACCUGAAGGCGUCCAGUCCUGCAAAAUGUCCUGUUUCCGUG